UAGCCGUAAACGAUACUCGCUAGGUGUCGGCCACGGUGCGACCGUUGUCGGUGCCGUAGGGAAGCCGUGAAGCGAGCCACCUGGGAAGUACGGCCGCAGGGCUGAAACUUAAAGGAAUUGGCGGGGGAGCACCACAACGGGUGGAGCUUGCGGUUUAAUUGGAUUCAACGCCGGAAAUCUUACCGGGACCGACAGCAACAUGAAGGCCAAGCUGAAGACUUUGCCGGAUUAGCUGAGAGGUGGUGCAUGGCGUAGUCGUGU
rnacentral:rRNA from 1 species